rnacentral:lncRNA from 10 species
CUAGGAGCAGCUAACAAGAAUCCUAAUACAGGAGUGUUUAUGGUUGGGUUGAGACACAUUCAGUAGCUGAGUGAUUGACAGCAAGAGGAGCAAGACAUGAGGUUAAUAAUUAUCAAAUAUAUGGCAAUGCUGGACUUUAGCUGAUCAUCGUGCUUCUGGAAAACAACAAAAAUUGAGAUAUCUGUUCACCACUUUGUGUGUCCAAGGACCACCUACUUUUUACAUGUGACAAGAACUACCCACCUCCACUCUUCAGAACAUGCUGAAGAAAAGAGUUGCAAUGAGAAAAUAUAUGGGAACAAAAUACCUAUGCAAUGCAGAAGUCUGCAUAACUGAACCACUCAGAGGAAAAAGAUUGCCAUUUCAGGACACCUCCUACAUCUGAGGAAAUAUGCAUUGAUCUUGCAGUACUUUUCUCCUCCAAAUAAAAGUCAGUAUGAUAACAAC